GACACAAGAACUUCUCCAUGAAAAUAGACAAAUAAAGGAAGAACUAAAUCAAGUAGUUGGAAAAUAAAUGAGGUUGAAGAAGUGAGAAAAACAGAAAACAGUAGAUUUUACUAGAUCAUGCUGCAAUGGUGCAAAAUACUCGUUCAAUGUCACUUGUAUUUGUAAUUUGAACGGGGUUCUUUGGAGGCAUGACUCAGCCCUUAGGGCUUCUUCUCAGCCACAAAAAUCAGACAUAGUAGCUCUCCAUUUAUAUCUCCAACCACCACUAGGGACCUACCAUUACAUUACAGGACAGUGAUGGCAUUUUAUAAUAAAACCAAACUUUUCCAGGGACCUACAUGUAAUACAAGUUAGCAGUCCUACCAAUUCUCGGUGGUUCAAGUGGUAGGGAGCUUGUUGCCCUUAAGCAAGAUCUUGAGUUCGAGCCUUGCGAGCCUCCCCCAAAUCGGGUCCGACUCGGCUCGAGGGAUUAGUCCUCGCCAAUAUGCGGGGGAUACCCUGGAUUCAUCCAAAAAAAGUUAGCAGUCCGGUCCUUGAGUCCUUGUCAAAUGUGAACUUCUGUUAACCUGGACUGGACCAGAAAAAAUGAAAUACAAUGUACUUUGGGACUCCAUGUUGUUUGGCUCUUGUAGAUCUCUUCGAACACAAGAUAAAAGCUGCAGAUCCUUUACUUGAGGGUUUUUGAGAUAGAAUUUGAACCGGGAUUCUGAAUGCCCUCCUCUUUGAGCAAUUAAGGAUGGAACUCCAACUAGAUCUCUGAUAGUUCAAUGCUUGCAGUUGAACUUUCCCGUUGCACUUCCUAAGCCAGCCGUCUCCAAAAAUGGGCCUCAGUUCAUCCCCCUUAACCUUCUGAGCCAUGUACCGUAGAUUGUUCAUCAAAAUUACGUGGUGCAAGGAAGGAUCCUUAUAUAACCUGGACUUUUCGUCAAGGUUGCCUUCCAGAGUUGAAGUAAGUGAUCGGAAGUGGCGAACCAUUGGGAAAAUUCUGCCUGGAGAAUCAGUGCCUCGUCUGAGGUAGGACUCGUGUCAGGCGACAGCGAAAUGGAAUCAGCAUCAGCACUGUCCUCAAAGAGAAAAUUAAGGGUCUCUCCAUAGUCUGUGAGAAUCCUCAAGUAAUUCAUCACAUAUUUGGUGAGAGGAUGUAUUCCUCCUCCAGCAACAGGGUUACUAAAUGUUGCCUUCACAGACUCACCCAAUUUCAUCAGAACCUCAUGAGAUUCAAUUCUUACAGAAGUAUCCCAUUAGAGGUUUCCUCUAAAGAGAUUUGGAGUUGAACUGAAAAUUAUACUUUCCAAGAGAGCUACUCCAUGCUACCUUAUUUAAUAGUACGAGGACCUAACUACAACUCCCCAGCUCAAAUAAAUUACUAACUUUAAAUUUUAUUAGCAACAGAUAUAUCCUUAUUUUUUACUUACAGCACCUAGCAUCAUGUGAACGGUAAAUUUAUUAGCCAUGCAGAUUGUAGGAUAAGAAAUGAAGCAAUGAAGUACACAUUACAAAUUGUGAUCUGCGUACCUGGGACCACAGCCCAUAUAUUUGAUCUCCAAUAUCCUCUCCUGUCAUAGUCACAAACCCAUCAAUAGAUAUCAAAUAAGAAGGCGGAUAAAAUGACAACGAUGAAAAUUACUUCUCUCAAAUCAGCUUGUUAGAGCAGCAUAUGCAACCCUAGAGCUGCACUUGACACUAAAGCACAAAAAAUAAACCCUAAUUCCAAACUCAACCAGUAAAUUUAAACGCAAUAAAUAAUCGGUGAAAUCAAUUUUUCAUAGUUGUGAAACCAAAAAAAUAAUUGAAAAACUCAUAUUAUGUGGCUAACUGGAAUAAUUUAUCCAAUUAGCUUAACUCUUGUUGGUUUCUUAGCCCCAGUUUGGAUUCAGAACUUCAAUACGGGAUUUAAUGGUAUACGGAAUGUACAAAUCCCAAAUCUUUCAAGUAUCCCAUUUGGCAACUCUGAAACUGAAUUUCCUGAGUUCAAUUCACGCCUAACAAGGUGUAGUUCAGAAAACCCCGCUAACGAAUGGAAAUCGAUGUUUCUUUUUCUCAAAGUUUACUUCAGUUUGUUUUAAGAUGGAACAAGUAAAUUACAAAUCUGCAGUGAAACCCUAUCAUUAACCAAGCUGAUAACUUUCUAACUUCCGCUGUUCCAAUCCCGUCAUUUAUUACCAUUCUCUCAGUUCACUUUUAUCCAUUCUCUCAGCAUUACUUUCUAUUUCACGUUGCUUGCAAUUGCAUAACAUACAGCAUUUUAUCAGAAAACUUAAGCACACAAUUCACACAACAAAUUGCAAAUUGAAUCCGAAAAAUUGGAGAUACACACCGCGGAAAUGUUCUAGGCAAGAAGGAACUUUUCAAGCCACAUCCGAACCAGCUCAUUCUUGAUAAGGAAAUCGAAAGGCUCCGAUUCCCAAUAAGGGUUUACUGAUCACAAUCACCAAUCAAAGCUUUAGAACACCAAAAAGUAAAAUCCUUUUCUUAGAGAAUCAAUCGCGGAGGGAAAAACACGUGUAAGCAAAUGAGAGGCUACCUGAUGUAAUGAGGUUGUUGACGACGGUGGAGAGGCCGAAGCGGGUGAGACUGGCGGGGAUGGAAAUGGAGGAUUCUGGAACUUUGUAGGGGUGGCCGAGGUCCGUUUUGAAGAGGACGAGGACCAACAGCGACGGCUCUUCAGAAUUUCCGUCGGCGUCCAUCGCUUUGCUUCUGGCGGAAGAGAUUGUAGAGAGAGAAAGAGGAGGAGGAGGUGGAGGUGGAGAGAGAGAGAGAGAGAGAGAGAGAGGUGGUAGCAGGGAAGGAAACUAGGGUUUAGUAACUGAAAGUAACAAGAGCCGUUCGCAACGCACCGUUUUGGUUAAGAGAGAAAAUUAUUUUUCCAAUAUUUAGUGGAUUUUUGAACCAAGCUUGGUUUAAGAUUAAAAGAAUAAAUUAAGUCCUCCAUCUUAAAAUGAUUGCGAAACAAGCUUGGUUUAAGUACGACAGGAAAAGUUAAGUAGCAGGUAGGAGCUCAAAACUCACCAAUAUUUGUUUGUAGCUGAUAAUAUUGUCUUGCUCGCUGCAAAUCACUAGUACUUUCUGCUUCACCUGUAAAAUAAGGUUUCAGACUACAAGCUUACUAUUGCCUACCCGACUUGCGGAAUUCUGCAUACCACUUAUAUACCGUACUCAUUAAGAUGGCGAGAGUUUACCUGUUUUAUUUGGGAAACAACAUUAUAGCCUCCGCUACUCAUAAAACUAACUGUUGCAUCUUUCCACCAAGGCAGCAGACAGUGUAAGCGUCCGACCUAAAUAUGGCACGAUCUCUGUUAGCUUUCCAUUACACAUACUUCAAAAAUCCAAGACAAAGAUGCCAAGAUAAAAAUUUCGACAAUAUACUAGAUGCCUGUUUCAGUUGGAACUUGAGUAUAUUAACAGAAAGAUUAUCUUACAUUAGUCCAAUCAAAGGUUGUAGCUAAUGAAAUGCCGUUAAAGGCCAGCAUAUUUGCGUAGAACCGUAGAGGGGUGCUCUUCAAUAAAGAAACCUGGUGAAUAAAAAGAUCAUAACAUUAGGCAAGCAAGCUAAGAGAAUUCAUAUAGGGUUGAAAUACCGCUGUAAGGGGACACCAACCCCAGCGUAGGUCGCAGCUUUAGGUAACUUUGCCAUGUCUCCGGUGCUUUCUGCGUAGACGCUUGCAUUGAUUAAAACCAGCUUUUCAACCUGAAAAUAGAAAACAAGAAUUAAAUUUAUGAAAUGGACACUACAUAAUUUCUGAAACAACGCAUCUAGAGCUAAGGAGCUCAAUAUGAUAGACACUCACAGCUUCUGGAUAGUGGUAUGCAAAGUCAAUUGCAACAGAACCACCGAGGCUUGGUCCAACUAAUACCAUCGGUCUUCUGAUGUAGGACUUCCAAAACUAUAAUUCGAAUGUGAAAUCCAGUUAUAUCUCCGAGCUCAAACAAUAAGAUUAGAUUCGAAGUUUCUCAACAGAUGAUGAAAAAUGUAGACCAUUUUCGACUUAAAGUAAUUAACAUAACAAAAAAUCAAAACCAUUGCAGAUAGACCGAAACAAUUCACUGGAGCAACAAAAGAGUAAAGAAAAGAAAAUCACACUGCAUAUAUAUCUGAUAGAGGUGAUGCCGCUUGGAUGCUGGGCUGCAUGGUGGACACCUUUCUAGUACAGAUAACAGAUAAAAAAAGAUUAAACGGAUGAACAUUAAGCACUUGUUGCAAGAAAGAGACUGGAAGUAUAUAAUCAUAUGCAGCCGGAAUAAAAAAAACAAUGAGGAAAAGGCAGGUAAACGAACCUAAAUCAGAAAAGCCCCACCCAAGAACAUCAACAGCCCAAGCUUCCAACCCAGCCUCUUCAAGCAGGGGGUACGCACACCUCCAUUCUAAACAAGAACUAAAAGAUACAAACAUGACGAAACAUGCUCAGCACGAAAUCACCUUGUAACAGUCAAUCUGCAAUUUGCAAGCAUUACAAACCUGUCAAAGCAAUGGAGGAGAACCACCGGAUUGAUCUCACUUUGUUUUCGAGGCCUUACACAACUACUCAUGAUACAACUUUCAGACGACGCAAUCUGCAAUCGCAACCGGCUUGCCCCAUUAGUCAAAAUAAAAAUCCCCGCCUAGGCGCUAGACGGCUAGCCAUCGUCCCAAUUAAUGCCUAGACGUUUGAAAAUUAAGAAAUGAUGCUUAGACCUAUUGAGGCACUCGUUAGACCCGCCUAGGUCGCAACUCAAUUAGACAGACAAUAUAUAACUUUAAUUUCACAUUUUAUUUUUUACAAUAAAUUGUAAGAAACUUGUUGCAUACUUAAAUGAACACACAUUAUAUCCUUGGUCCCCACGUUUUCAUUAUGUUCCAAUAUUUCAUAAUAUAUGUCUUCUAUUUUGUAGUUUAUAAUGAAAUUAUAUAUAUUUUAAGUAUAAGCUAACACUUAUUUAUGCGAAAUAUAAUAGAUUUACUUAAGUCCGCCUAGCCUCUACCUAGCCGCCUAGGCGCUAGGCCCUAACCCGCCGCCCGACUAGCACCUAGGGUCUUUUAGAACCUUGGGCAGGGGUAAUACCCCUACAUCAAAGAAAGAAAUGAGAUAUUAUUCAGAGUCAAUGAGUAACUUCAAAAUGGACAAGAAAAUUGAGAAUCAUCAGUUCAUCACAUGCUGUACUAGUUUGGUACUAAAGUGCUUUUAUAAAAAGUGAGUAUAAAAAAAACUGAGCUUAAAAAUGUAUUUGGUAAACACUUAAAAACAACUUAUUUUCAUAGUUUUGGGUGAAAAAAGCUGAAAACGUGAAACAAUAAAAAUGAGUUUAUUCUCACAGCACAGCAGAAACAAUUUUUUUUUUCAAAGCACAGCAAUACCAAACCAAUCCGCCAUGUGCCACAUAUAAUUUCAAUAAAUAUUUCAACUCAAUCACGUACUAAAAAUCCUACUUCUGUCACAACUAAAGUUUUAUUAAACAAAAACUUGGAAAAAUUAGUACCUUUAGCUUGAUUAUUUUGUAUUCACAAACCAUAGUUUCAUGCAAAGAAUAUUCCCACCAUACGGAAAUGACUAUUAUGACCUUGUAUCGUUCACUCCAAAGUUGAGUUGAGUUCACCGGAAAAGGAUCCAUGGAAUCCUAGGAUCCCGUAAUUGUGAACGUUCAUCGUAUAUUAUGCAGUUAGAAAUCAUGUCAAAAUUUAAAAUUUAAAGUUACAUAUAAAUAGCAUAUAACAAAAACUGACUGCACGAUGUACGAUGAACGGUCACGAUUACAGAUGUCUGGGAUCCCCACGAAAAAGAUCUGUCAAGGAUCAGAUCCUUUUCCGAGUUCACCAUCCCACGAACGGCAAAAAGUACUUAUUCCUUUCGUUGAAUCACGUCAAAUAAUAAGGUAAAAACAAAAUGCACUUAUCCAACCACUUCCCAGUUUUGGCUGAAAGCUCAAGCACUUCCCAGCCUUGGAGUUAGACGUUCUAGAAGAAGAUGAUGAAAAUGGUAAGAAUAGAGAAUCCAUUUAAUCCGUAGAAAUAUUGAUUCCCUUACAUUCAUUUUCUUCUCAAAAGGUACACAAAAAUAAAAAUAAAAAUAAAAAUAGCAUGCGGAAAUCAUCUUCAGAAUAAACCCACCAAGUACUUCAUGAAAAAAUGUACAUCAUAAUUAGUGGCAUUAAGCAUACAUGGGUUAUACGUGGAUUAGACCAGUUUACGAGCUCAUCAAACUCCCACUCCCUCAAGUUCUAAAUUAGUAAAUUAGAGUAGUUUAUACUAUCGUCUUUGUAAAGAAACGAAAUUAGUGAGAUUAACAAAAAUGAGGAGAUUAGCGCGUUACCGGCACAGGGAGCCUCUCCAUCCUCUGAGCCAACGUUCUGGCAUGGGUCCUUAAUUUUCUCAACCUCCUUUGGAAGGAACGAUGGGAACCCAUUAUUUGUACCUGCACCCCUCAUAUUGAUCACCACACUCCUAAGGCUUCCAUCUUUCUUUGCCAUUAACGUACCCACCACCGCUUCCGGCGGUGGCGACAGUGGGGCAGAACACCACAUUAGCGGAAGUGGUGGCGACAGUGGGGCAGAACACCACAUUAGCGGCAUCAUUCUGAUUCUUCCGUUGAUCUGGCAGCUGCACAGCAAAAUGCCGUGCGGAUUGUGCAGCUGGUUUUUGCUUUCCACUGAAGUGAAAAACUAGAGAGAGAGAGUGUGUGCUGCCAAAUAGAAAAACAAAACAAAACAGGAAGGAGAGGGGAUUUCUACUUGGAUUGCUUAGGGCGUGACAGCACAGUAAGGUGCUCAGAAAUUUGUCAACUUUGACGGCCGUAGUUUCGUUGAACGGCUCACGUCUCAUCCUGAUUUACGCACUUGAUGGUGAAUUCUGUUGGGGCUUAAAAAGACUUCACUAUUUUUGGAGAUGUUUAUCUUACAAAGAAGAAUGUAAUGCAGCGGAAUUGAUAGGCAAGAGAAAGAAAGAACACUCAAUGUAUUACACAAGAUUUUUAUUCACUCACAAACUUAGUGCAAGACGAAACACUCAAACACUCUUAGAAGCUUUGUUACUUCUUCUCACUUCACACUACUUGCUCUCUUGGUUGUUUCAAAUGGUGUGGAUGCCUUCUCCUUUUAUAGGCAUGGAUGGAACCUUGGAGAAGCAUGGAAGCAUCAUGCUAGAGAUAUCUAGAUAAUUCCACUACAUUCCUAUGCGAGAAUUAUCUACACUAAUCUUGUAUGUUGGUGGAAUCCUCACCAUUCUUCUAGACUCUUCCACCAACUUGAAUUUUGCUAGAAUUCUCUAGCAUGCGCAUGAAUCUUUCUUUGUGCAUGGGCUAGAUCCAUUAUCUUUGAGCCAAGACAAGAUUACAAUUCAACAAACUUGUCUAAAUUUACCUUACGUGCAAACCUCCGACAACUCGAUGAUAAAAGUGAAUUUAGGUAGCCAAGGGGUGUCAGAUGUCAAAUUUUGAGAUGGGCUAAGUCUUCAUACUAUAUAUGCUAUUUUUCUCUCAAAAAAAGCAUGGGUUUGUCUUUGUUCUUGUGUGCGAGAGCAGCAACUCGUAUAAGGCAACUAAGGGCUGGUUUGGUAUUGCUGUGCUUUGAAAAAAAACUGUUGUGAAAAUAAGCGGCUGUGCUGUGAGAAUAAGCGGCUGUGAAAUAAAUCAGCAGAGUGUUUGGUAAACUUUUUUGUAAAAGUGCUUUUGGAAAAAAAAGCAGUCUAAUAGUGGGUCUUUUCAUUAAAGAAGCACUGUAGCUCUGUGUGCUUUGAAAAAAAGCCAGUUUUCCAAAGCUACAAAUAGCAGCUUCAGCUUUUUCCUUUGAUUUCAGCUUAUUCUCACAGCAGCUUCCAAAAUAAGCCAUUUUUUUUCAGUUUACCAAACACCUAAAACCCUCACAGCUUUUUUUCAUGGGUGCUUUUUUUUUAAGCACCUCACUCCCAAACUAGGUCUAACUCAAUCGCAUGACAUUAACAUUGAUUAUGAUCAACUAAAUGUAGAGAAUCUUGCUAUAUUUUAAGGGGUGUCGGAUGAGAAAUUUUUCAAAGUCACCGGUAUUCAAACGGAUACUCUAUGUUGAGAAGUUCGAGUUCUGAUCUGUGCAUAGGCAGUGAUCAUAGAAGGGUCGAUCAGAGGACUUGACAUCUUCUUCAAUGGUGUAAAGAGGGGGAGUUCCAUGGGAAGAGGAAAGUUCAAAAAAAGAGAAAGAAAAGAAGAUUGAAUGGAUUAUCCCAAACCCUGCCUCCGGCACUAUUGCAUGAACCAUUUAUGAUGACCGCGUCUAGGUGGAUUGUGGUGUGUCAUAAAAUAAGUGGAGGGGCACAAAAAAAUAUAUUUUUGUCACUGUAACGCAGUUAAAUCUUGUACAGACUUGAUAAGUUAAUUUUAGUUUAGUUUAGUUUAGUUUCGUUUAGUUUGAAAUGCAAAUUUUGGGCUACUACUGAUAUUUCAGUUGCAUUGUCAUAAAAGUCGCAUUGGUGUUGAUGGUUGAAAAUUGGCUGUCGACGCUGGUGGAGUAACUAUUGGUCUGUUCUUGCUCAUGGAAUCCGUGGAGCAAGUCUAGUUCAUCUCUUGCUGAUGGAACAUAAUAUUUAAAACGACCUUUUUCUAUCCUUUUCCUCCUGUACCCUUCCAAGACGCAGUACGCAAAAACAACAAUAUUAUAGGGAGUUGCUUGUCGACUACCUAACGCACUAUUCCUCCUCUUUUAUUCGGGCUUAGAACCGGUAGUGUAAGAUAAAUUUAUACAGGCAAAAUUAAGACGCAAUACACAACUAACCUUGUAUUUUAUCACAUAAACCUUCACUUUUUUCGGUUAUUUAGCUGUUAGUUUUUGUUGAGCGAGAAAAGUGAAGGUUUAUGUAAAACGGGUGUGAUAUCCACACACCCCAUUUUACUUCUCACACACCUUUUUAAUUUUCCGCCCUCGGAUCGGAUGAAUUGAAGAAGAUCAACGGACAUAAAUUAUCAAGAGGUGUGUGAGAAGUAAAAUGAGAUGUGUGGAUAGCACACCCCUAUGUAAAAAUUUCUUUGAAGAUUCAGCUUUGCCCCGACCAGGCUCACAAGUCAUCAAUAUAACCAUUGAUACAACGGUCCAGUCCCUCUCAUGUGAUGGGCACAACUGGUCUCACGCGGGUUCUACUACCGGUCAUGUGUUAAAUACAAGUUAUACAACUAGCGGACACAAGAACUUCUCCAUGAAAAUAGACAAAUAAAGGAAGAACUAAAUCAAGUAGUUGGAAAAUAAAUGAGGUUGAAGAAGUGAGAAAAACAGAAAACAGUAGAUUUUACUAGAUCAUGCUGCAAUGGUGCAAAAUACUCGUUCAAUGUCACUUGUACUUGUAAUUUGAACGGGGUUCUUUGGAGGCAUGACUCAGCCCUUAGGGCUUCUUCUCAGCCACAAAAAUCAGACAUAGUAGCUCUCCAUUUAUAUCUCCAACCACCACUAGGGACCUACCAUUACAUUACAGGACAGUGAUGGCAUUUUAUAAUAAAACCAAACUUUUCCAGGGACCUACAUGUAAUAAAAGUUAG
rnacentral:lncRNA from 1 species